AACAAAAUAUGAAUAAGCCAAAGAACAACCUUUUUCUCACAUUAAAUCAAUCAUGUGUCAUCAUGCUUCACAUGUUAUAUAAGCCGUUCAAUUAUUACCCAAUGAACACUGAAAGUGAAGUGCAAACAAUAUUGAUGUUGAGAUUUGAAUCCACAUAUCUAUUGAGAAAAUCUACUGCUAACCUAAUAGGAAACAUAGCAAAACAUUGACAAGGACCAUAAAACCGGUAUGAACAAGAUGACAAAUUGAAGAAAGUGGAUAAGUUGAGAGAAAAUGAAUGUGAGAAAGUGAUUGGAAAUUUGGUUGAAAGCUAAAAAAAACUUGCUAAGCAAGCUAGGUCAAAGAUGACAGAAAAUUCAGGGAACAAAGUAUGAAUCAAAGAUCUGAAGGACGAUUCUAUUGGAGUGAAAAUGGUUUCAACUCAGCUAAGAAUUGCUGUGGUGAUUGGAAUUUAUACAGAUACCAUGUAACUAACUCUAACCAUAUGUAACUAUCAGUACAGCACACUAGGAAAUACAAUUAGGAAAGACUUUGCCACACAAAGCCUUAGUAUGCGGUGAAUGUUUUUUACACACUCACACUGUAAAACCUUGGCAUGAAAGGAAGAGGAAGG
rnacentral:lncRNA from 1 species